rnacentral:tRNA from 1 species
GGGGUCAUAGCUCAGCUGGGAGAGCACCUGCUUUGCAAGCAGGGGGUCAGCGGUUCGAACCCGCUUGGCUCCA